rfam:Camelus ferus unplaced genomic scaffold scaffold216, whole genome shotgun sequence.
GAGGGUAUAGCUCAGUAGUAGAGUGACUGUUUAGCAUGCACUAGGUCCUGGGUUCAAUUCCCAGUACCUCCA